AACACGGCAGUUAAGCUCUUCUGCGCCGAUGGUACUGCAUGGGAGACUAUGUGGGAGAGUAGGUCGCCGCCGUUU
rnacentral:rRNA from 1 species